rnacentral:rRNA from 1 species
AACGAACGCUGGCGGCAGGCUUAACACAUGCAAGUCGAGCGCCCCGCAAGGGGAGCGGCAGACGGGUGAGUAACGCGUGGGAAUCUACCCAUCUCUACGGAAUAACGCAUGGAAACGUGUGCUAAUACCGUAUACGUCCUUCGGGAGUAAGAUUUAUCGGAGAUGGAUUAGCCCGCGUUGGAUUAGCUAGUCGGUGGGGUAAAGGCGUACCUAGGCGACGAUCCAUAGCUGGUCUGAGAGGAUGAUCAGCCACACUGGGACUGAGACACGGCCCAGACUCCUACGGGAGGCAGUAGUGGGGAAUAUUGGACAAUGGGCGCAAGCCUGGUCAAGCCAUGCCGCGUGAGUGAUGAAGGCCCUAGGGUUGUAAAGCUCUUUCACCGGUGAAGAUAAUGACGGUAACCGGAGAAGAAGCCCCGGCUAACUUCGUGCCAGCAGCCGCGGUAAUAC